CAGUAGCCGCGGGAAUACGUAGGUGGCAAGCGUUGUCCGGAUUUAUUGGGCGUAAAGCGAGCGCAGGCGGUUUCUUAAGUCUGAUGUGAAAGCCCCCGGCUCAACCGGGGAGGGUCAUUGGAAACUGGGAAACUUGAGUGCAGAAGAGGAGAGUGGAAUUCCAUGUGUAGCGGUGAAAUGCGUAGAUAUAUGGAGGAACACCAGUGGCGAAGGCGGCUCUCUGGUCUGUAACUGACGCUGAGGCUCGAAAGCGUGGGGAGCAAACAGGAUUAGAUACCCCCGUAGUCCCUGUCUCUUAUAC
rnacentral:rRNA from 1 species